UUCCGUCUUGCCCCGGUAAACGGCGGCCGUAACUAUAACGGUCCUAAGGUAGCGAAAUUCCUUGUCGGGUAAGUUCCGACCUGCACGAAUGGCGUAAUGAUGGCCAGGCUGUCUCCACCCGAGACUCAGUGAAAUUGAACUCGCUGUGAAGAUGCAGUGUACCCGCGGCAAGACGGAAAGACCCCGUGAACCUUUACUAUAGCUUGACACUGAACAUUGAGCCUUGAUGUGUAGGAUAGGUGGGAGGCUUAGAAGUGUGGACGCCAGUCUGCAUGGAGCCGACCUUGAAAUACCACCCUUUAAUGUUUGAUGUUCUAACGUUGACCCGUAAUCCGGGUUGCGGACAGUGUCUGGUGGGUAGUUUGACUGGGGCGGUCUCCUCCUAAAGAGUAACGGAGGAGCACGAAGGUUGGCUAAUCCUGGUCGGACAUCAGGAGGUUAGUGCAAUGGCAUAAGCCAGCUUGACUGCGAGCGUGACGGCGCGAGCAGGUGCGAAAGCAGGUCAUAGUGAUCCGGUGGUUCUGAAUGGAAGGGCCAUCGCUCAACGGAUAAAAGGUACUCCGGGGAUAACAGGCUGAUACCGCCCAAGAGUUCAUAUCGACGGCGGUGUUUGGCACCUCGAUGUCGGCUCAUCACAUCCUGGGGCUGAAGUAGGUCCCAAGGGUAUGGCUGUUCGCCAUUUAAAGUGGUACGCGAGCUGGGUUUAGAACGUCGUGAGACAGUUCGGUCCCUAUCUGCCGUGGGCGCUGGAGAACUGAGGGGGGCUGCUCCUAGUACGAGAGGACCGGAGUGGACGCAUCACUGGUGUUCGGGUUGUCAUGCCAAUGGCACUGCCCGGUAGCUAAAUGCGGAAGAGAUAAGUGCUGAAAGCAUCUAAGCACGAAACUUGCCCCGAGAUGAGUUCUCCCUGACUCCUUGAGAGUCCUGAAGGAACGUUGAAGACGACGACGUUGAUAGGCCGGGUGUGUAAGCGCAGCGAUGCGUUGAGCUAACCGGUACUAAUGAACCGUGAGGCUUAACCUU
rnacentral:rRNA from 1 species